rnacentral:hammerhead_ribozyme from 1 species
AUCCAGCUGAUGAGUCCCAAAAAGAACGAAACACAUGUCCUGGAU